rnacentral:rRNA from 1 species
UACGUAGGUGGCAAGCGUUAUCCGGAUUUAUUGGGCGUAAAGAGGGAGUAGGUGGCUUUUCAAGUCGGAUGUAAAAUUUCCCGGCUUAACUGGGAAGGGUCAUUCGAUACUGUUAAGCUUGAGGGCAGCAGAGGAAGAUGGAAUUCCCGGUGUAGUGGUGAAAUGCGUAGAUAUCGGGAGGAACACCAGUGGCGAAAGCGGUCUUCCGGGCUGUUCCUGACACUAAGGCCCGAAAGCGUGGGGAG